rnacentral:rRNA from 1 species
CCUACGGGAGGCAGCAGUGGGGAAUAUUGCACAAUGGGGGAAACCCUGAUGCAGCGACGCCGCGUGAGUGAAGAAGUAUUUCGGUAUGUAAAGCUCUAUCAGCAGGGAAGAAAAUGACGGUACCUGAUUAAGAAGCCCCGGCUAAAUACGUGCCAGCAGCCGCGGUAAUACGUAGGGGGCAAGCGUUAUCCGGAUUCAAUGGGUGGAAAGGGAGCGUAGACGGCAGCACAAGGCUGGAGUGAAAUGCCGGGGCCUAACCCCGGAAAUGCUUUGGAAACUGUGCAGCUAGAGUGCAGGAGAGGUGAGUGGAAUUCCAAGUGUAGCGGUGAAAUGCGUAGAUAUUAGGAGGAACACCAGUGGCGAAGGCGGCUUACUGGACUGUAACUGACGUUGAGGCUCGAAAGCGUGGGGAGCAAACAGGAUUAGAUACCCCUGUAGUC